rnacentral:tRNA from 1 species
CAAAUUAAAGCUUUUUAAGCAUUUCAUUUACAUUGAAAAGGGAUUGUUAAUUCAAUUGAUUUGA